rnacentral:misc_RNA from 1 species
GGGUGGUAUACCCUACCGUGAUAUUAAUUAUUUCGAAGGGAAUAUCUAAAACGAGAAGGAUAAGCAAAUGCAAGACAUGAAUCACAUGAAGCAGAAAUGCAUGCAGCCCAUUUUAGAAGCACAAUGAGAAGCAGAAGAGAAGUUCUAUAUAUGAAGAUCAUAGGAUGGACGUUUGCAGCACUUGAUUAAUUGCAUUUGCAGAAGAGCAGGUACGCUGGGGCACCAUGUGUUAGCCUUCACUUCACACACUAUACUGGAAGUAGAAGAUGCCACGCCGGACCUGGAAGUGACCUUCGUGUAGGACUAAUCAACAUUCCCUUCCCCCACUUUCGCAAUGGCCCCAUUAAUUUUCCCAACCUUUAUUAUUUUUAUUUUCUUCAUCUAUUUUUCAUUGUUUUAUGAUACUGUCCAUAAAUCAAAUUCACUUAAGACUGCUUAUGGCUCCAUCGCAUGUGCAAAGAGUAAAAAUUUUGUAUAAAUG